rnacentral:ncRNA from 1 species
ACCGGGGACGCUGAAAACCGAAAAGAGUAGGCA